AGCGGGGGACGGGUGAGUAAUGCUUAUGAAUCUGCCUAUUAGUGGGGGACAACAUUCCGAAAGGAAUGCUAAUACCGCAUACGUCCUACGGGAGAAAGCAGGGGAUCUUCGGACCUUGCGCUAAUAGAUGAGCCUAAGUCGGAUUAGCUAGUUGGUGGGGUAAAGGCCUACCAAGGCGACGAUCUGUAGCGGGUCUGAGAGGAUGAUCCGCCACACUGGGACUGAGACACGGCCCAGACUCCUACGGGAGGCAGCAGUGGGGAAUAUUGGACAAUGGGGGGAACCCUGAUCCAGCCAUGCCGCGUGUGUGAAGAAGGCCUUAUGGUUGUAAAGCACUUUAAGCGAGGAGGAGGCUACUGAGACUAAUACUCUUGGAUAGUGGACGUUACUCGCAGAAUAAGCACCGGCUAACUCUGUGCCAGCAGCCGCGGUAAUACAGAGGGUGCGAGCGUUAAUCGGAUUUACUGGGCGUAAAGCGUGCGUAGGCGGCUUUUUAAGUCGGAUGUGAAAUCCCCGAGCUUAACUUGGGAAUUGCAUUCGAUACUGGGAAGCUAGAGUAUGGGAGAGGAUGGUAGAAUUCCAGGUGUAGCGGUGAAAUGCGUAGAGAUCUGGAGGAAUACCGAUGGCGAAGGCAGCCAUCUGGCCUAAUACUGACGCUGAGGUACGAAAGCAUGGGGAGCAAACAGGAUUAGAUACCCUGGUAGUCCAUGCCGUAAACGAUGUCUACUAGCCGUUGGGGCCUUUGAGGCUUUAGUGGCGCAGCUAACGCGAUAAGUAGACCGCCUGGGGAGUACGGUCGCAAGACUAAAACUCAAAUGAAUUGACGGGGGCCCGCACAAGCGGUGGAGCAUGUGGUUUAUU
rnacentral:rRNA from 1 species